ACCUAUAUUCAGCGUAAAGCAACAAUAUUUCUAUGAUACUGUAUAUUAUGUACUGAAGUAUUUGUGCUCCAAUGAUAGGCGUCCUCCAAUUGCAAACACGACAUAAAACAUGAAAAUGAUACAGCUCAUACGUCUGCAGCUGACCUACAGAUACCGUUUUUGAAGCGAGACAAGAGGACAGAAUUAUAGGCGACACAAGUAUUUUAACAGCAUUGUCGGUCUAGGUUGGCCUGUUUGCUAAAGAGAAACAACAUGAUCAAGCUUUACAGCAAGGUGGGCUUUUUCAGCAUCACGGGAACUUUUAAAACCUCUUGCUUUGUGCUGGAGGAAAAUAAUUGGUGGAGCACACUUGGAGUGUUUCUUUCCAUCGGCCAUUUUGUUUACCCUGCAGUGGCCAACAGAGGUGAAGGACUACUGUAGCAAAGUCAGCUUUGACAUCAUACUGGACACACUCAACAACAACAACAACAACAACAACUAAAACCAAAGGGUGAACUCACCAGGCAGCAGCAUCAGCAUCAGUGUGGCAGCCAGCAGGGCGGUGACGCCGGUCCUCCUCGCUCCAGCCAUGACACGUCUCUUCUCCUGCCGAGACAAAGUCAAAGUGCUUAUGACGAGCGCAGAAGCGACAAGUCUCACUGGGGACCCGGCUGGGGGAUUCUGAGUGACCCGGAAGAUGACUGAUUGGUCCACCUGUGCUCAAAGUGUGUGUGCGCGUGGGGCUGGACUUCCUGAGACAAACUGCCGUGACGGACUGAGCGCUGCCAGGUUUUAAACAAGGCCCAUCAUCACUGACACACAACAGGCUAAGAUGUGCCCGUGGUGCGUUCAAGUGCAACUAUACAGCAUGGGAGAGAGUAGAUUAACGUCAGCGAAGGUGCCAGAAGACUUAAAAAGCUAAUGAGGGGAGCCAAGAUGCCACAUAAGCACUUCUCGAAGGCCGUGGCCAGCACCAAAACCGUGUUUUCACAGCGUCCGCAAACCUGCAAUCCACGACGACGCCAAAAGCAUACUCAUAAUUUUCUCCAAAGCUGGAAUGUGGGCGAUCUACAGACUUUGCGAGACAAACACCUGGUUCCAUGCCGCUUCUUUUUGCG